rnacentral:rRNA from 1 species
UACGGGGGGAGCAAGCGUUGUUCGGAUUUACUGGGCGUAAAGGGCGCGUAGGCGGCCAGCACAAGUCAGUUGUGAAAUCUCCGAGCUUAACUCGGAAAGGUCAACUGAUACUGUGCGACUAGAGUGCGGAAGGGGCAACUGGAAUUCUUGGUGUAGCGGUGAAAUGCGUAGAUAUCAAGAGGAACACCUGCGGCGAAGGCGGGUUGCUGGGCCGACACUGACGCUGAGGGCGCGAAAAGCUAGGGGGAGCGAACGGG